rnacentral:rRNA from 1 species
CCUACGGGGGGCAGCAGUGGGGAAUAUUGGGCAAUGGGCGCAAGCCUGACCCAGCAACGUCGCGUGAAGGAAGAAGGCUUUCGGGUUGUAAACUUCUUUUAAGAGGGAAGAGCAGAAGACGGUACCUCUUGAAUAAGCCACGGCUAACUACGUGCCAGCAGCCGCGGUAAUACGUAGGUGGCAAGCGUUGUCCGGAUUUACUGGGUGUAAAGGGCGUGCAGCCGGGAAGACAAGUCAGAUGUGAAAUCCCGCGGCUCAACCGCGGAACUGCAUUUGAAACUGUUUUUCUUGAGUACCGGAGAGGUCAUCGGAAUGCCUUGUGUAGCGGUGAAAUGCGUAGAUAUAAGGAAGAACACCGGUGGCGAAGGCAGAUGACUGGACGGCAACUGACGGUGAGGCGCGAAAGCGUGGGGAGCAAACAGGAUUAGAUACCCGUGUAGUC